CUACGGGACGCUGCAGUAAGGAAUAUUGCACAAUGGGGGAAACCCUGAUGCAGCAACGCCGCGUGGACGAAGAAGGCCUUCGGGUCGUAAAGUCCUUUUCUGAGGGAAGAGGAAGGACGGUACCUCAGGAAUAAGUCUCGGCUAACUACGUGCCAGCAGCCGCGGUAAAACGUAGGAGGCGAGCGUUAUCCGGAUUCACUGGGCGUAAAGGGCAAGUAGGCGGGUGUUUAAGUUAGGUGUGACAUCUCUCGGCUUAACUGGGAGGGAGCGCUUAAAACUAGGCAACUAGAGGGCGGAAGAAGGGGGUAGAACUCCAAAUGUAGCGGUGUAAUGCUCAGAUAUUUGGAAGAAUACCAGUGGCGAAGGCGACCCCCCGGUCCGUGCCUGACGCUGAGAGGCGAAAGCUAGGGUAGCGAACGGGAUUAGAUACCCCGUAGUC
rnacentral:rRNA from 1 species